rnacentral:rRNA from 1 species
UACGUAGGGUGCAAGCGUUAAUCGGAAUUACUGGGCGUAAAGCGUGCGCAGGCGGCUUUGCAAGACAGAUGUGAAAUCCCCGGGCUUAACCUGGGAACUGCAUUUGUGACUGCAUGGCUGGAGUGCGGCAGAGGGGGAUGGAAUUCCGCGUGUAGCAGUGAAAUGCGUAGAUAUGCGGAGGAACACCGAUGGCGAAGGCAAUCCCCUGGGCCUGCACUGACGCUCAUGUGCGAAAGCGUGGGGAGCAAACAGG